CUGGUGUAUUAGCUGAGGCUGGCAGGAAAGUGUAACACUAAUUAAACCCCCUGAAGGCUGGAGUUGGCCAAUCCCUGGUCUUCAGAAAUGCUGAGCCGGUACAUCCUUGCGUUCGGGAAAGAAACAACAAGGUGUCCGAGCUCUUUUGUUUCACUGACGUUCACUGUUGCUACGGCGACAAGUGUCAGGACCAGCAAGUCGCCCCCCCCCCCCCCCCCCCCCGUUGAUAACAUGGAACAUUGAGGCUUGUGUAAAUGCAAAGUUUGUUCGUUGACCUCUAUUUUUGUACUGUUUUCCUGCCGGGCCUGUUUCUGGCUGUUGGUCCGAGCCUGUAAGCUGAGUGGUUGGUAUCUACCGGAGGCCUAUGAGGGCUUUGGGCCUGAGGCCUAAGCACACCUUAUAGCGCACCCACCCAGCCAUAAUCCUGUCCGAUAUCCCUCCACUCCUAGCAGAAUCCCACCGAGCAAGUGUUCACGUCCAGGACCAAAAGCAAAAGGCGUUCCCUCUCCGUCUGACUGGGUUAAUGAGAGAGCCGCUCCUACUCAGAAUCCAUGUACAAAAGGGACAUGUAAGCAACACCGGCCUGUCUUUGGGACGCGACGGUGUAGUCUGGUGUUCCGGUAACUUAUUAACUAGUUGCGGGGAGAAAAACAUGUAUGAAAGAAGAAACAUGAAGACUAGUCGUUAUCUGUGCUUCUCAUGUACACAUCUUUUGUGUCCAACUCUGUAUUUAUGUUCUUUUUCUUUUUUUUUUUAAGUAAUAUUAUUUAACGGCAAAAGGCUGGAAGGGACGGUAGCAUCAGUCACUCUCACAGGAACAAAUAAUGACCUUGGAAUCUGCCCAGUGAUUAGUUUUUUCUUUCAAGGGUCAUGGGUCACUCAAAUCAGAUUUUCAUAUUUGUAUGUAAAUUAUUCCAUUGGAACUCAGCACCACGGAUUGUAUUAAUUAUUUAAACGUAAAUAAUAUGGAUGCAUUAUACAGUUAAAUAAAUAUACCUAUGUUUUAA
ensembl:lncRNA